UACGGGGGGGGCAAGCGUUGUUCGGAAUUACUGGGCGUAAAGGGCUCGUAGGCGGCCAGCUAAGUCGGACGUGAAAUCCCCAGGCUCAACCUGGGAACUGCGUCCGAUACUGGAUGGCUUGAAUCCGGGAGAGGGAUGCAGAAUUCCAGGUGUAGCGGUGAAAUGCGUAGAUAUCUGGAGGAAUACCGGUGGCGAAGGCGGCAUCCUGGACCGACAUUGACGCUGAGGAGCGAAAGCCAGGGGAGCAAACGGG
rnacentral:rRNA from 1 species